rnacentral:rRNA from 1 species
GGACGGCUCAGUAACACGUGGCUAACCUACCCUCGGGUGGGGGAUAACCUCGGGAAACUGAGGAUAAUACCCCAUAGGAGAAGAGGCCUGGAAUGAUCCUUCUCUGAAAACAUAUGUGCCCGAGGAUGGGGCUGCGUCUGAUUAGGUAGUUGGUGGGGUAACGGCCCACCAAGCCUACGAUCAGUACGGGCCUUGAGAGAGGCAGCCCGGAGAUGGGGACUGAGACACGGCCCCAGGCCCUACGGGGCGCAGCAGGCGCGAAACCUCCGCAAUGCACGAAAGUGCGACGGGGGGACCCCAAGUGCUUACGCACUGCGUAGGCUUUUCUAAAGUGUAAAAAGCUUUAGGAAUAAGGGCUGGGCAAGUCCGGUGCCAGCAGCCGCGGUAACACCGGCGGCCCGAGUGGUGACCACUUUUAUUGGGCCUAAAGCGUCCGUAGCCGGUCCAGUAAGUCCCUGUUUAAAUCCUACGGCUUAACCGUAGGGCUGGCAGGGAUACUGCUGGACUUGGGACCGGGAGAGGGCGAGGGUACUUCAGGGGUAGCGGUGAAAUGUGUUGAUCCCUGGAGGACCACCUAUGGCGAAGGCACUCGCCUGGAAC